AGUGAACGCUGGCGGUAGGCCUAACACAUGCAAGUCGAACGGCAGCACAGUAAGAGCUUGCUCUUACGGGUGGCGAGUGGCGGACGGGUGAGGAAUACAUCGGAAUCUACUUUUUCGUGGGGGAUAACGUAGGGAAACUUACGCUAAUACCGCAUACGACCUACGGGUGAAAGCAGGGGAUCUUCGGACCUUGCGCGAUUGAAUGAGCCGAUGUCGGAUUAGCUAGUUGGCGGGGUAAAGGCCCACCAAGGCGACGAUCCGUAGCUGGUCUGAGAGGAUGAUCAGCCACACUGGAACUGAGACACGGUCCAGACUCCUACGGGAGGCAGCAGUGGGGAAUAUUGGACAAUGGGCGCAAGCCUGAUCCAGCCAUACCGCGUGGGCGAAGAAGGCCUUCGGGUUGUAAAGCCCUUUUGUUGGGAAAGAAAAGCAGCAGGUUAAUACCCCGCUGUUCGGACGGUACCCAAAGAAUAAGCACCGGCUAACUUCGU
rnacentral:rRNA from 1 species